rnacentral:rRNA from 1 species
CCUACGGGAGGCAGCAGUGAGGAAUAUUGGUCAAUGGGCGGGAGCCUGAACCAGCCAAGCCGCGUGAGGGAAGAAGGUACAGCGUAUCGUAAACCUCUUUUGUCAGGGAACAAAGGCGGGGACUAGUCCCCGGAUGAGGGUACCUGAAGAAAAAGCAUCGGCUAACUCCGUGCCAGCAGCCGCGGUAAUACGGAGGAUUCAAGCGUUAUCCGGAUUUAUUGGGUUUAAAGGGUGCGUAGGCGGUCGGAUAAGUUAGAGGUGAAAUCCCGAGGCUCAACUUCGGAAUUGCCUCUGAGACUGUUCGGCUAGAGAGUAGUUGCGGUAGGCGGAAUGUAUGGUGUAGCGGUGAAAUGCUUAGAGAUCAAGAGGAAUACUCAUUGCGAAGGCGACCUGCUGGAACAUUACUGACGCUGAUGCACGAAAGCGUGGGGAGCAAACAGGAUUAGAUACCCUGGUAGUC